UACCCGCAGCACAAGUGGUGGUCAUUAUUAUUGGGCCUCAAGCGUCCGUAGCUGGCGUGUUAGAUGCCUGGGUAAAUCGAUGCGCUCAACGCAUCGAAUUCCGGGUAGACCGGCACGCUCGAGACCGGGAGAGGCGUAGGGUACUCGGGGGGUAGGGGUAAAAUCCUGUAAUCCUCCGGGGACGACCAGUGGCGAAGGCGCUACGCUAGAACGGCUCUGACAGUGAGGGACGAAGCCCUGGGGCGCAAACCGG
rnacentral:rRNA from 1 species